rnacentral:rRNA from 1 species
ACUCCUACGGGAGGCAGCAGUGGGGAAUCUUGGACAAUGGGGGCAACCCUGAUCCAGCCAUGCCGCGUGAGUGAUGAAGGCCCUAGGGUCGUAAAGCUCUUUCGCCUGUGAAGAUAAUGACGGUAGCAGGUAAAGAAACCCCGGCUAACUCCGUGCCAGCAGCCGCGGUAAUACGGAGGGGGUUAGCGUUGUUCGGAAUUACUGGGGCGUAAAGCGCACGUAGGCGGAUCGGAAAGUUGGGGGUGAAAUCCCGGGGGCUCAACCCCGGAACUGCCUCCAAAACUAUCGGUCUAGAGUUCGAGAGAGGUGAGUGGAAUUCCGAGUGUAGAGGUGAAAUUCGUAGAUAUUCGGAGGAACACCAGUGGCGAAGGCGGCUCACUGGCUCGAUACUGACGCUGAGGUGCGAAAGUGUGGGGAGCAAACAGGAUUAGAUACCCUGGUAGGAUAGCG